UACAGAGACCUCAAGCGUUAUCCGGAAUCAUUUGGCGUAAAGCGUACCGAUCGGUGGUUUAGAAAGUCAAAAGUGAAAUCCCAAGGCUCAACUUUGGGACUGUCUUUUGAAACUUCUAAGCUAGAGGGGCAAAGAGGAAGCUGGAACGAACGGUGUAGUAGUGAAAUGCGUUGAUAUCGUUCGGAACACCAAUAGCGAAGGCAGGCUUCUGGGUGCCACCUGACACUGCUAGGACGAAAGCGUGGGGAGCGAAUGGG
rnacentral:rRNA from 1 species